rnacentral:lncRNA from 1 species
GGUGUAUGACUUGGGUAAGAUGUCCAGGUAAGACUUCCAGAGGGACCGACAGCCGGCAUGCUUUUCUGAGACUAAGAAAGUACACAAGGCCAGCAGAGGAGACACAGGAGGCUUCCACCUGGUGAAAUGAGGAGACAGAUGGGAAGAGUUAAAGUGUGGACUCUCACAAUGUCGUCUGCCUCAGAGGGGCUGUGUUCAAACUGUCAACUCUCCAAGACACAGGCAUCUUUCCUAGGGCCGUGCCUCUCCCGAGCCGCCACUUCCGUGACUAGCAGGCACUGCACAGGCAUCUGUGGCUCCUGGACAGUGCAGAACAAAGCAGCCACACCUUUGCUGGGGGUUCUACUGGACGGCACCACCAAGACAGAACUGUGGAAUCCGAAACUCCCAGGUUCUAAUACAAAUCAUGUAGCUGCUGAAUAAUUACUCAUAAUUCAGUCCCUAAGGCACAAACAGACUCAGAAACAUUACCGUUAUUCUUCGAAGCCCAAAUUCCCAUGUUACCACACACUGUACUGCGAUCUGAGUGACU